GAACGCUGGCGGCGUGCCUAACACAUGCAAGUCGGACGAGAAAGCAGACUUCGGUCUGCAAGUAAAGUGGCAUACGGGUGAGUAACACGUGGGUAACCUGCCCGGAGGUGGGGGACAACUCUUCGAAAGGAGAGCUAAUACCGCAUAACAUCCCGAGUACCUCGGUACACGGGAUCAAAGUUUGCCUCUGUUUCAUGCAAACGCCACCGGAGGGACCCGCGUCCCAUUAGCUUGAUGGUGAGGUAACGGCUCACCAUGGCUACGAUGGGUAGCCGGCCUGAGAGGGUGAUCGGCCACACUGGAACUGAGACACGGUCCAGACUCCUACGGGAGGCAGCAGUGAGGAAUUUUGCGCAAUGGGCGAAAGCCUGACGCAGCGACGCCGCGUGGAGGAAGAAGGCCUUCGGGUCGUAAACUCCUGUCAAGAGGGACGAAUCCCUACGGGAUGAAUAAGUCUGUAGGUUGACGGUACCUCUGAAGGAAGCCCCGGCUAACUCCGUGCCAGCAGCCGCGGUAAUACGGAGGGGGCAAGCGUUGUUCGGAAUUAUUGGGCGUAAAGGGCACGUAGGCGGUCAAGCAAGUUGGUGGUGAAAGCCCUCGGCUCAACCGGGGAAUUGCCCCCAAAACUGCUCGACUUGAGUCCCGGAGAGGGUGGCGGAAUUCCCAGUGUAGCGGUGAAAUGCGUAGAUAUUGGGAGGAACACCAGUGGCGAAGGCGGUCACCUGGACGGGUACUGACGCUGAGGUGCGAAAG
rnacentral:rRNA from 1 species